GCCCUAGUAACGGCGAGUGAAGCGGCAACAGCUCAAAUUUGAAAUCUGGCCUCCUUUGGGGGUCCGAGUUGUAAUUUGCAGAGGGUGCUUUGGCAUAGGCGGCGGUCUAAGUUCCUUGGAACAGGACAUCGCAGAGGGUGAGAAUCCCGUACGUGGGCGCCUGCCUUUGCCGUGUAAAGCCCCUUCGACGAGUCGAGUUGUUUGGGAAUGCAGCUCUAAAUGGGAGGUAAAUUUCUUCUAAAGCUAAAUACCGGCCAGAGACCGAUAGCGCACAAGUAGAGUGAUCGAAAGAUGAAAAGUACUUUGGAAAGAGAGUCAAAUAGCACGUGAAAUUGUUGAAAGGGAAGCGCUUGCAGCCAGACGUGCCCGCGGUUGCUCACCCCGGCUUUUGCUUGGGGCACUCUUCCGCGGGCAGGCCAGCAUCAGUUUGGGCGGUCGGAUAAAGGCCUCUGUCAAGUAUCUUCCUUCGGGAUGACCUUAUAGGGGAGGCGUAAUGCGACCAGCCCGGACUGAGGUCCGCGCAUCUGCUAGGAUGCUGGCGUAAUGGCUGUAAGCGGCCCGUCUUGAAACACGGACCAAGGAGUCUAACAUCUAUGCGAGUGUUUGGGUGUCAAGCCCGGGCGCGAAAUGAAAGUGAACGGAGGUGGGAUCCCUUCGGGGUGCACCAUCGACCGAUCCUGAUGUCUUCGGAUGGAUUUGAGUAAGAGCAUAGCUGUUGGGACCCGAAAGAUGGUGAACUAUGCUUGAAUAGGGUGAAGCCAGAGGAAACUCUGGUGGAGGCUCGCAGCGGUUCUGACGUGCAAAUCGAUCGUC
rnacentral:rRNA from 1 species